UAACAAGGCCCUAUGCUUUUUAUUAGACUCAUUUUGUUAAUCCCUAAAAUUAAGGAAUUCCAGGUGUAUGGAGCCAAGUAUGCAAAUGAUUUCCUUCCGUCUAGCUGCUGAUUUCAUAAAAGGUCCUCCAAACAGUGAAAUAAAACACAACAUGCAUAACGUGGAAAGCUUUACUACGUAUGAGAGAACAGUCUGGCUUUACAGAGUUAAUCACAGUGUGCUGUAAACUCACCACAGAUACAAAUUUGAACAAAGCUGUAAAGUAAGUAUAAAUAAGUAAAUUAAAGGAAUGAAUAAAAUCGAAGGGGGAAAAAAAAAAGGAAAAAGCAUGCUUUCAGUUUACUGGUUGUCAGCUCAGCUGUUGAUACAGCUGAAAACAAUAUACCUAAAAUUAAGCUUAUCAGACUAGUAUAAGGCAUACAGAUCUCUGCUGCAGCAGAAACAGAUGUCAAUUGAUAAAGGAAACCAUCAUAAUCUGCUGAAGAUGUACCGAUUAGUCUGGGGGUGCUACGUUGCUGUCUAUGCUCCGUGAAGCUAAUGCAUUUAUCUAUGGGAGUCUGCUGGGUAUCAGAAGUUGGUUACUCUAGUUCCAGUUCAUAGAAGUUUGUUGUGAAAAAAAGUGCUAUGAAUUUAAACAGUUGGCAAGACAGAGAUGCCAAAAUGUACAACACUGCUACCGCAGGGAAGGCUGGAAAAAAAUUGUGUGUAUUGAUCUGGAUUCUGCCCUCGAACAUUUUGCUGCCAGACAGAAUAUUAAACAGGCUUAGCCCCUGGAGUGAAAAUAUGGGACCUAGAACCAGUAAGCCUUUUCUGAAUCUUGACGGAUUCUCAAACUUUAGUCAUGAGGGACCAGCUGUCUCCACAUCUCCUGGCUUCCCAAUUAAUAAUUCUCAGAGAUCUCAAAUAGCUGCUGCUACUGCCUGCUCACACAACUCUCCAGCUAUCCCACUUGUUAAAGAAAAUAACUUAAAAUGAUAUUCCUUAGUAUCAUUCCUUACUAUAAUUCCUGCUAUUUUCCCAUAAAAUCUGGUGUCUCCUUCAGUCUUUGUUAAUAUAUCCUGCAAUGUUGUGAUAAAACUUAUUUCAAAUGGUUCUUACCUGAUUAGCCAAAUACUGUUAUUUUACGGAAGUAUGCUUGUAACAUAGAUGUUUGUCUUUUUAUUCAAUGACACUAAAUGCAUUUUGCUAGCAUUUUGAUAUAGAGAAAGCUUUUAAAUGUGAAAGAUCUAAACACUAGUGAAGUAUAUGCUAAGUGAAUAAGCGUG
rnacentral:lncRNA from 1 species